rnacentral:rRNA from 1 species
UGGGGAAUUUUGGACAAUGGGCGAAAGCCUGAUCCAGCAAUGCCGCGUGUGUGAAGAAGGCCUUCGGGUUGUAAAGCACUUUUGUCCGGAAAGAAAUGGCUCUGGUUAAUACCUGGGGUCGAUGACGGUACCGGAAGAAUAAGGACCGGCUAACUACGUGCCAGCAGCCGCGGUAAUACGUAGGGUCCAAGCGUUAAUCGGAAUUACUGGGCGUAAAGCGUGCGCAGGCGGUUGUGCAAGACCGAUGUGAAAUCCCCGAGCUUAACUUGGGAAUUGCAUUGGUGACUGCACGGCUAGAGUGUGUCAGAGGGGGGUAGAAUUCCACGUGUAGCAGUGAAAUGCGUAGAGAUGUGGAGGAAUACCGAUGGCGAAGGCAGCCCCCUGGGAUAACACUGACGCUCAUGCACGAAAGCGUGGGGAGCAAACAGGAUUAGAUACCCUGGUAGUCCACGCCCUAAACGAUGUCAACUAGUUGUUGGGGAUUCAUUUCCUUAGUAACGUAGCUAACGCGUGAAGUUGACCGCCUGGGGAGUACGGUCGCAAGAUUAAAAGCUCAAAUGA